CCUACGGGUGGCAGCAGUGAGGAAUAUUGGUCAAUGGCCGGAAGGCUGAACCAGCCAAGCCGCGUGAAGGACGAAGGUGCCAAGCAUUGUAAACUUCUUUUGUCAAGGGACAAAAUCAGGCUCGAGAGCCUGACCGAGGGUACUUGAAGAAAAAGCAUCGGCUAACUCCGUGCGAGCAGCCGCGGUAAUACGGAGGAUGCGAGCGUUAUCCGGAUUUAUUGGGUUUAAAGGGUGCGUAGGCGGGCCGUCAGGCAGGCGGUAAAAGUGCGGGGCUCAACCCCGCCGAGCCGUCGGAACCGGGUGCCUUGAGUACCGGAGAGGUACGAGGAAUGCGUGGUGUAGCGGUGAAGUGCAUAGAUAUCACGCAGAACCCCGAUUGCGAAGGCAGCGUACCGGCCGGUCACUGACGCUGAGGCACGAAAGCGCGGGUAUCGAACAGGAUUAGAUACCCUGGUAGUC
rnacentral:rRNA from 1 species